GACGAACGCUGGCGGCGUGCCUAAUACAUGCAAGUAGAACGCACAGUUUAUACCGUAGCUUGCUACACCAUAGACUGUGAGUUGCGAACGGGUGAGUAACGCGUAGGUAACCUGCCUGGUAGCGGGGGAUAACUAUUGGAAACGAUAGCUAAUACCGCAUAAUAUUGAUUAUUGCAGGAUAAUUAAUUGAAAGGUGCAAUUGCACCACUACCAGAUGGACCUGCGUUGUAUUAGCUAGUAGGUGAGGUAACGGCUCACCUAGGCGGCGAUACAUAGCCGACCUGAGAGGGUGAUCGGCCACACUGGGACGGAGACACGGCCCAGACUCCUACGGGAGGCAGCAGUAGGGAAUCUUCGGCAAUGGACGAAAGUCUGACCGAGCAACGCCGCGUGAGUGAAGAAGGUUUUCGGAUCGUAAAGCUCUGUUGUAAGAGAAGAACGGGUGUGAGAGUGGAAAGUUCACACUGUGACGGUAUCUUACCAGAAAGGGACGGCUAACUACGUG
rnacentral:rRNA from 1 species